rnacentral:rRNA from 1 species
CCUACGGGAGGCAGCAGUGAGGAAUUUUGGACAAUGGGCGAAAGCCUGAUCCAGCAACGCCGCGUGGGUGACGAAGGCCUUCGGGUCGUAAAGCUCUGUCAGAGGGGAAGAAAUGCAGGUGGUGAACAACCAUUCUGUUUGACGGUACCCUCAAAGGAAGCACCGGCUAACUCCGUGCCAGCAGCCGCGGUAAUACGGAAGGUGCGAGCGUUGUUCGGAAUUAUUGGGCGUAAAGCGCGUGUAGGCGGUUUGUUAAGUCGGAUGUAAAAGCCCCGGGCUCAACCGGGGAAGUGCAUUGGAUACUGGCAGACUAGAGUACGGGAGAGGAGAGUGGAAUUCCCAGUGUAGGAGUGAAAUCCGUAGAUAUUGGGAGGAACACCGGGGGCGAGGGCGGCUCUCGGGACCGAUACUGACGCUGAGACGCGAAAGCGUGGGGAGCAAACAGGAUUAGAUCCCCUGGUAGU